rnacentral:rRNA from 1 species
CCCCUWACUCCAACCCAAUGUGAACGUUACCAAACUGUUGCCUCGGCGGGGUCACGCCCCGGGUGCGUCGCAGCCCCGGAACCAGGCGCCCGCCGGAGGAACCAACCAAACUCUUUCUGUAGUCCCCUCGCGGACGUAUUUCUUACAGCUCUGAGCAAAAAUUCAAAAUGAAUCAAAACUUUCAACAACGGAUCUCUUGGUUCUGGCAUCGAUGAAGAACGCAGCGAAAUGCGAUAAGUAAUGUGAAUUGCAGAAUUCAGUGAAUCAUCGAAUCUUUGAACGCACAUUGCGCCCGCCAGUAUUCUGGCGGGCAUGCCUGUCCGAGCGUCAUUUCAACCCUCGAACCCCUCCGGGGGAUCGGCGUUGGGGAUCGGGACCCCUCACACGGGUGCCGGCCCCGAAAUACAGUGGCGGUCUCGCCGCAGCCUCUCCUGCGCAGUAGUUUGCACAACUCGCACCGGGAGCGCGGCGCGUCCACGUCCGUAAAACACCCAACUUUCUGAAAUGUUGACCUCGGAUCAGGUAGGAAUACCCGCUGAACUUAAGCAUAUCAAUAAGGCGGAGRAA